rnacentral:hammerhead_ribozyme from 1 species
AUCCAGCUGACUAGUCCCAAAUAGGACGAAACGCUCGUCCUGGAU